rnacentral:tRNA from 2 species
GGGGGUAUAGCUCAGUUGGCUAGAGCGCUUGCAUGGCAUGCAAGAGGUCAGGGGUUCGACUCCCCUUACCUCCA